rnacentral:rRNA from 1 species
GUAACAGGGGCUUCGGCCCGCUGACGAGUGGCGGACGGGUGAGUAAUACAUCGGAAUGUACCCAGUAGUGGGGGAUAGCUCGGCGAAAGCCGGAUUAAUACCGCAUACGCACUACGGUGGAAAGCGGGGGACCUUCGGGCCUCGUGCUAUUGGAGCAGCCGAUGUCAGAUUAGCUAGUUGGUGGGGUAAGAGCCUACCAAGGCAACGAUCUGUAACUGGUCUGAGAGGACGACCAGUCACACUGGGACUGAGACACGGCCCAGACUCCUACGGGAGGCAGCAGUGGGGAAUUUUGGACAAUGGGCGCAAGCCUGAUCCAGCAAUGCCGCGUGUGUGACGAAGGCCUUCGGGUUGUAAAGCACUUUUGUUCGGGAAGAAAUCUGCCGGGCUAAUACCCUGGCGGGAUGACGGUACCGGAAGAAUAAGCACCGGCUAACUACGUGCCAGCAGCCGCGGUAAUACGUAGGGUGCGAGCGUUAAUCGGAAUUACUGGGCGUAAAGCGUGCGUAGGCGGCGCUGUAAGACAGAUGUGAAAUCCCCGGGCUUAACCUGGGAACUGCAUUUGUGACUGCAGUGCUAGAGUGUGUCAGAGGGGGGUGGAAUUCCACGUGUAGCAGUGAAAUGCGUAGAGAUGUGGAGGAACACCGAUGGCGAAGGCAGCCCCCUGGGAUAACACUGACGCUCAGGCACGAAAGCGUGG